ACCACUCCUGACCCCUGACCAGUGACUUGUGUGUUAGGGUGGAGUCUACGCAGGUCCCUGACGAUCUGGUUCCUGCUUCUGCAGCUCUCUCUGCCAAGAGCUUCCUGUGUGGCCUGCACCACAGACCUCACAGUAUUCUCUAUGAGAAUUCCUUGGCAUAAUUUCCUACUUCCUUUUAAAGCAAUGGGAUUUUGGACAGAUUAUAUACUACCACCAAGGGUAUAAGGCUGAAAAGUUGGAAGAGCAGAAUCACCAAUUUAGUUUUUGGGACUCUGCUAUAAGUUUUUAUGUGAUUCUGAAAAUGUCACAUAAAUCCCAUGCUCUUCCUUAAGUCAUGAAUGUCCUCUGUAUGCCUGGCCUGUGCGUGGGUUGGGACAUGGAGGCCUAAAUAAAACAUUUUCUGUCCCCUGGAGGAAUGUAUAGUUUAGGGGGGGGAAAUAAAAACCUCAUUGGAUGGCUAAGGAUAAUAUGUAGACACACCUGUGAUGUUAAGUAUGCCAGGAAAGUAAUGAUUUAAAAGGAAUGUUUCUACCUUCUUUCCAAAAGUUAAUUUAAGUAUUUAUAUGCUAGUGAUAAAACGAGCCUUUUUUCUUUUUCAUACUCAUGAUAAACUCAUUGCUUUCCUUACUCUCCUAUUUAAAAAAAUUCAUAGUAAGUUAGUUCAGGCUCCCCCCAAACCCCCUCUGCCUUUCUGCUGCAAAUUAUAUUCUCUUCCCAGUCUAGCUGUGCCAGGCACCCUGGUCGGUUUGCCUGUCUCAGAGUCCUCUUAGUUCCUUUGCAUUUCCAUUUUCACUUUAGUAUCAGCUUCCUACUUCUGUAAUGUUCAGCAAGGAUUUUGCCAGAUGUUUUGUUGAAUCUGUAGAUAAGCUUGGAGUUAAUUUGUAACUGGUAUCUUCUAUUCUUGAAUACCAAGUACUUCUCAUUCUCAAAAACAAUAUUCUUUAACAACUCAAGAACAUUUUGUGAGAUGGGCAGUGGUGGCACAUACCUUUAAUCCCAGCACUCAGGAGGCAGAGGUUGGAGCAUCUGUGAGCUCAAAACCAGCCUGGUCUGGAGAGUGAGUUCCAGCAUAGCCAAGUCUACACAGAGAAGCCCUAUCUCAAAAAAAAAAAAAAAAAAAAAAAAAAAAAAAAAGAAAGAAAGAAAAAGAAAAAAAAGAAAGUUUUCUCCGGGUAUAACCUGGCACCACUUAUUAUGUAAAGAAUAGUUCCAAAUAUUUUUUUAAUUUAUUUUUAUUUUAUGUGUAUGAGUAUUUUGCCUGCAUGUGUGUCUGUGUACCAUAAAUGUGCAGUGCCUACAGACACCAGAAGAGAGUGUUGGACCCUCUGGAACUGCAGUUUGUGAGCUCCUGUGUGGAUGCUGGGAAUCAGACCCUGGUCCUCUGCAAGAACAGCAGAUACUCUUAAAUUGCCGAGUUGUUUCCAAAUAUUUGAUAUUGUCUGAAAUUGUUACCAAUGGAACACUUAUUUAGAGGUUCAACUGGUUUUCUUUAUAUUGAUUUUGCUCUUUGACUUGUGGCAUAUUUCUACUAUUUCUAGAGCAUAGUUUUUAAAAAAAAUAGAGGCAUUAGGAAGAUUAGAUAAAACCCUAGAUAAUUAGGAAUUUUUGACAUCAGCAUCAUGCUGUUGCUAAACAUGGGAUUCAGGAGCCUGAGACACUUUCCUUGGUGUCCUGCCUUCUUUCCCACCCCAUCCAGUCCUCUGUGUUUUCCUACUAGGAUGAUCUUGUAGGGCUCCCUCCUUUAUUCUACUAAUAAUAGCUUAACCACAUGUGUUGGUUUUUGGUAUGGAAAGCCAAGUUUGCAUUUACUCUGUCUUUAUAUGCUGUUCUCUUGACGUGUUGCAUGGUACGGUGUACUGUUAGUUUGUGAACAUUUACACAUUGGUGACCCUGAGACUGGCUUAUAGGCAGUGUUUUUACACUUGUGUCUCCGGUGUUGCUUUCUGGGUGAUAGAGCUGCCUUACCGUACCUUUUCUUUCAAGAUUGAAGAACUAACUUUAGUCUUUCUUGAAAUGUAGACCGGCUUCUAUCUUGAUUUUUCUGGGAGUGAGUUUAGUUGACCUACAUGGAGAAGAAUAGGCUUAUGAAAGUUGGCUGACAAUUUGUACCCAUUAUCCUUUGAGUGUGUCUCUGCAUGACUCAUAAUGAGCAUGGGGGUCAUUUUGGUUCUGUGCACAGCACUGUUCUUUUGCUCUUUUGCUGUGUCUUGUGUUUGGUUUUGAGCAGUUUGUCCAUCACGUGCCUGUCAUGACUGAAAUGAGUACACUGCCGUUCCGUGUGGGAUGUUUUCAGUUGUUAUUUCUUUGAGUUAUUCUUUCUCUUCCUUCCCUUCACCCAUUCAGUCGCACCCUUAAGUGCAUCUUGGCUCCUGUCCUGCUGCUGUGGGUUUGUUUUCCUUCCUCCUUUCUCUGUUUGUCAGGCAGGGGUGUUUAAAGGGCCUGAUCAGGUUCCCUGGUCCUGCCCCCACCAUCUCAGUUCUGCUGGGCAGCUUCUCCAGCCAACCUGCAUAGCAGUGACUUCACUUUCCACCUAUCUUUUGCAAGUGUAACAUCUGGGUCCUCUUCCACAUAGUUACCUUUGCCUGCUUGGCCUCUACAAGGGUGGUUCACAUUUUCUUUGUAUGUCUCUUUAUUCAUGGUCUUUGAAAAUGCUGGCAUUUGAAUAAGGUGCCAAAGCAGGUAUUAAUUCUGAGCACUUUGCUUCCAAGGAAGCUGCUGUUGCUGCUAUUUUGUCUUCUAUUUCUCUUAUAAUUAUGUUCAACUGAACCCACGGACUCUGUGCCCUUCAAACUUCCUAGUGGGCAACAUGUGUAUUUAGGUCUUCCUAUUGUGCUUUAUAGGUUUUUCUGUCCUUCUAGAAGACAACAUAGCUUAGUUGUCACUCUCAGUUGUCCAGAGGCCAUGUGUGCUCAGGGCCUGUUUAAUGUGAUUUCUCUGUUGGCAUGCAUUAUCGAAUUCAGAGAGGCCCAUGUUAAUUGGCGUGCCGAUCCUGCUGGUAUAACCUGGAGUCACCUCUGCAAAGAUGCACUGUCAGGCAGAUAAGCAGGAGAGCCUAUCAGGGUCUUGCCUGCUCCUCUCUGGGCUCUAUCAUGGUGUCCUCUGUUGAGCUGUAUGUUGCUUCCCUGGACAUGGUAGCAUCAGGUGUGCUGGUUUGCUGUUCUCCCUCAUUCAUUCUGUGGUACAUUUUACUGCUGUAGAUGCUGCUGCUGUCAUGGGGGACUUUACCCUUCAUUCCAGAACACAGCACAGGAGCUCCUCCCCAGCAGAGCGAUGGCUGAGGAGGAGGGAUGGUCUUCCCGAUGGCUGAGGAGGAGGGAUGGUCUUCCCGAUGGCUGAGGAGGAGGGAUGGGCUUCCUAGCAACAGUGCGUGCCACAGACUCGACUUCUCUAACCUGCAAUUUAGCUAUUUUUUUCAUGAGUGAUUUUACUGUGUUCUUGUUUUGCUGUGUGGCUUGAAUCCGUUCUGAGACUCCUUACAUGGUGUCUUUGAGCCGUUUUCAUCCCCUUGUUCUUUUUUUUUUUAAAAAAUAUAUAUUUGUAUUAGAUAUUUUCUUUAUUUACAUUUCGUAUGCUAUCCCAAAAGUCCCCUAUACCCUCCCCCCCCCCCCCCGCCAUCCUCCCCUACCCACCCACUCCCACUUCUUGGCCCUGGUGUUCCCCUGUACUGGGGCAGAUAAAGUUUGCAAGACCUAGAGGCCUCGCUUCCCAAUGAUAGCCGACUAGGCCAUCUUCUGCUACAUAUGCAGCUAGAGACCCGAGCUCCGGGAGUACUAGUUAGUUCAUAUUGUUGUUCCACCUUGUUCUUUUUAAGGACACUUUCCUCACUCAGUCAAAAAAGCCAUCUCUACUUCUUAGUGUAUGGUUCUUAAAAUGUAUGGAAUUUGUGUGAUUUUUUUCCUGUGAGCAUAUGUCCAGUUUCAUGAUACUAUUUUAUUUCCACAUUGUUUGUGUAUUCCAGAGUUUAUUUAGCUGCUCUUCAAAUAAUGAGUGUUAAUAUUAUUUCCUAUAUAUAUAUAUAAUGUCUACAAGGAUGCCAGAAAAACCUUGAACAUAAAGGUUGUGAUAUUUUGGCAAAUAAUUGUGAAUACUAAGUUAUUGUCAGUGAAGACAUUGAAUUCCAAUGUUACUUUGCAUUGUUGUGAUUGUUCUUUUAACAUUUUUUGACUGUGUGGGUAUGGUGUGUGAGUGUGUGCUGUGUGAGUGCCAUAGACAACUUGCAAGAAUGAGUUCUGUCUUUCCACUGUAUGGGUACCAGGGAUUGAACUCAGGUCAGCCAUCCAGAUGGCAGACACUUUUGUCCUUAGAGGCAGGUCACCAGUCUAGACUUUGGAGUUAACUUUUAAUGAGUCACUUCAAAACCUUUCCCACUUUCUCCAGGCUCACAUAACAGACUAAACUCACUGGGUAGCAAAGUGCACACAUAAUUGUGUGUACAUGAGUACACACAACACACAUGCACGUGCAUGCACGACCACAAUUCUUUUUUUUUUUUGAAAGAUUUCAUUUAUUUCAUGUAUGUGAAUACACCGUCAUUAUACUCAGACACACCAGAAGAGGGCAUUCGAUCCCAUUGCUGUGGUUGUGAGCCACCAUGUGGUUGCUGGGAACUGAACUCAGGACCUCUGGAAGAGCAGUCAGUUCUCUUAACCACUGAGCCAUCUCUCCAGCCCCCCAUGACUACAAUUCUAAUUUCCUUUCUACUCUGGACUAUUGGCAAAGAGUAUAUGUUUCAGUAUUUUUAUUUUUCACAUAGAGAGAGUUUUAAGUGAGUCUGUAAGCUCUCAUGCAUGGCUCCAGUGUAAUUAUGGUUGAUUCGUACCUGCCCAUCUGACAUUACAAGAGUAAACCACCUAAAACAUUCUAAAAUUGCCUUACACAUGCCUAUACAUUUAGUCAUUUAAUAUCUGUGUAUUUUAAAAUAUUUUCACCAAGCUGAUAUUUAAAGUGGGCUCCACUGUAACAGGGAACCUAACUUAGAACAGGUGAUUUUAACUUCAGUUUUCUAAACUUUUCCUGGAGUCUAAAUAGUGCUUCAGCCAUGAUCUUUUGAUCGAAUCUAUUUUUAGCAUCUAUAACUGAGUAUCACACCUCCUAACAAUUUUCUACAGGGAAGUACUAGCAUUUUUUCUAGCACAUUUUAUUUAGAAUGUGCUUUGCAAAUUAUUUAUUAAUCUUCACACAUUUGUAGCAAAAUGGCUGAUAAGAUCUUAGCAGCCUUAUUUUAGACAGUUGGAGUGACAGACCCAUGCGGAUGACAGCUCUGAGGCACCGAGCCUCAGAGAAGUCUGGGGGAGGGUCUGUGUGCACCAGUCCCACCCACGCUCCGAGUUCACCUGCUAAGGACCGAGGUUUUCAUCCUCCGUCCUGUUCCUUUCCUACAGAUGGUAUAUUACAGCAUUCUUCUCCACGGUGCCCACGGGAUUCCUCUAAUUCCAUGGUGCCUACUUAUUUGUUUCCUUGAUAUUUGGGGAAGUCAGGAAGAAAAGACAAAUUCUUAGUUGUAAAUAUAGUGUUUCUUUGAGAUUUUUUAAUUCGGGAUAUAAAUACUUCACCUGAAUUCCCUGUUUAUGCUGAAAUGUGCUCAUGAUUUUCCAGUUUGUGGUCCCCUGAUGACCGUGAGCCUGUGACAACGCCAGCAGUGAGUGCCUCUUUGCAGCCAAAUAUCACAAAAAGCUCCUGCCUUCGCUGCUCUCACUGAGACCGAUUCCAUGUCUUCCUUCUCCAUCCAUCUGCUAUGGCCUGGAAUUCACUAUAGCCUAGGCUGGCCUUGAACUCAGGAUAGCCCAUCUGCCUUAGCUAGGAUCUCUGGUCUCUGGAAUUUAAUACUCUGAGUCUUUUUUCCCUCCCUGUGUGUGAAGCUUUGGGCCACCCCUCUGAUGACUCGAUCUCCAGUCCUCAGAUGGCCCCGCCCCUCUUAGAGAGAAGCUCCAUUGGCUGUUGUGCAGCUAAGUUACUCUUUCCUCUUUGAUUGUUAAUGUUUCUUUUUUAUUACAAAGUAGUGAUGGUAAAGUUUUAUCUGUUUAUUCUGUGUUUUUGUUAAUUAUCAAAUGGAGUUGAGGAUCAUUACAAAGAAAGAGAAAGGAAGCAAGAUAGAGUCCUAGUUUCAGAGUUUAACAUGUAGGAAAAA